UUUCUAACCAUUGCACCAUCUUCUUAGAAACUUGUAAUUUUUUUUCAAUUUUUUUUU
rnacentral:sRNA from 1 species